UACGGAGGGUGCGAGCGUUAAUCGGAAUAACUGGGCGUAAAGGGCACGCAGGCGGGCUUUUAAGUGAGGUGUGAAAUCCCCGGGCUUAACCUGGGAAUAGCAGUUGAGACUGGGAGUCUAGAGUACUUUAGGGAGGGGUAGAAUUCCCCGUGUAGCGGUGAAAUGCGUAGAGAUGUGGAGGAAUACCGAAGGCGAAGGCAGCCUCUUGGGAAUGUACUGACGCUCAUGUGCGAAAGCGUGGGGAGCAAACGGG
rnacentral:rRNA from 1 species